rnacentral:rRNA from 1 species
AUGCAGCACACUGCCGAUCGAGGUUGGUUGAUCAACGAUCUGGGCGGCCGACGCCCGAUGGGUUUCCGGCGGUUUGUGCAUCUGGUGACGAACGACGCUCGCAGCACCUACACUCUGCGCCGCAUCGACAUGUCGCGCUUCUUCCGCCCACCACCGCUCGUCGGCCACAUCGCCGGAGCAGGAGAAGAAGGCCCGGCGCUGGAACACGGCUGCCUGCCCGACCCCACGUCGCGCUUUGAAGCUCCGUCGGGCUCGGGCCGGCCCCUCAAAGGCGUGAUGGACUUCUUCCUCCUCAAGACCAACCAUAGACACGAAGCGGAGGAGGGAGAGCUUGACCUUAACAUGGUGGUCGCCACGGACCACACGGGCCGCGCCCUCAUCUACGACCCCGACUCGCUGGCCGUCCGCGCGCUGCCCAGGCUGCCGGAGCGCAAGUACAUCCCCGUCUCCCUCACCGCCGGCGGCGCCCUCUACGUGUUCGACCGGAUCCCCCAGCUCCACAAGAAGCGGUGCUGCGAGGCGCUCACCUUCCGCCGGCCCCGCGGCGAGCACGAGGACUGGUCGUGGCGCGCUCUGCCCCCGCCCCCCUUCGUGCACGAGCCCAGCAGCCACGGCGCCCCCGGCCAAAUCGACUCCUACGCGGUGGCCGGCGACGGCGAGAGCCUCUGCAUAUCCACCAGACGCAUGGGCACGUACUCCUACGACAUUAAGAAACGCGGCUGGACCAAGCUCGGGAGCUGGGCGCUGCCAUUCAGCGGCCUCGCCGAGCACGUCCGCGAGCACGGGCUCUGGUUCGGCAUCUGCUCCUCGGACGACGGCGAGAACACGUUCGGCGCCGCCGACCUCAGGGCCGCCUCCGGUCUGACGCCGCCUCCGCUGCAUGGCUCGUGGGAGGACAUCACGCCGCCCAUGGAAGGGCACGCGCUGGGGACGCACGUUGUGCACCUCGGCUCCUCCAAGUUCUGCAUCGCCAGGUUCCUCGAGGCUGUCACCUCGCAUGUCUCUGAAGAGUCUACUAGCCCAGUCCUAUCAGUAUCAGGUAGAGGACGUCCUCGCCGUUUUCACCGGCGUGGAGGUGCAGAGGCAGGGUGA